rnacentral:rRNA from 1 species
GACGAACGCUGGCGGCGUGCCUAAUACAUGCAAGUAGGACGCAGUUGCGAACGGGUGAGUAACGCGUAGGUAACUGCCUAUUAGAGGGGGAUAAAUAUUGGAGACGAUAGCUAAUACCGCAUACUAGUAGAUGGACCUGCGUUGUAUUAGUUAGUAGGUAGGGUAAUGGGCUACCUAGGCGACGGUACAUAGGCGACCCUGGAGGGGGGUCGGCCAAAACGGGACUGGGACACGGGCCAGAAUUCUAAGGGAGGCAGCAGGAGGGGAUCUUUGGCAAUGGGGCGAACGCUGAACGAGCAAAGCCGGGGGAAGGAAGAAGGGUUUCGGAUCGUAAAGCUCUGUUGGUAAGGAAGCGGUACUUAACCAGAAAGCGACGGCUAACUACGUGCCAGCAGCCGCGGUAAUAC